GUACGUAGGGCGCAAGCGUUGUCCGGAUUAUUGGGCGUAAAGAGCUCGUAGGCGGCUUGUCGCGUCGAAUGUGAAAUCUCAGGGCUCAACUCUGACAUUGCAUUCGAUACGGGCAGGCUAGAGUUCGGUAGGGGAGACUGGAAUUCCUGGUGUAGCGGUGAAAUGCGCAGAUAUCAGGAGGAACACCGGUGGCGAAGGCGGGUCUCUGGGCCGAUACUGACGCUGAGGAGCGAAAGCGUGGGGAGCGAACAGG
rnacentral:rRNA from 1 species